rnacentral:lncRNA from 1 species
GAAAUGUCAUUUAUGCCCUUUUUAGAUUUUUUUUGACAACUUGCAAAUCUUGCUAAGUCAAGGUUGGUGAACAACCCUAGCCUAAUCUAGCCAUAGCAUGUGACUUAUAUGACCAGCAAUCUCAGCAGCCAAAUCAGUCAUAUACAUUGCAUUGUAUCAAAUUUUAAGAUUAAAGAGAGAGAAAAUAUUACCUUAUUGCUCAUUUACUCACCAAUACUCAUUCUUGACCCUCUCUCUCUAAAAGCUUCGAAAUGUAGUGCUAGAUCAGUCACAAUAUCAAGUCCCACGUGUAUCAAGAACAAGAUCAAAGAUCAGAAUCAUGAUCAAAGCCCAAAAAGUGGUAU